AUAUGCAAGUCUUGUCUGAUUUUGGAAGCAAAGCAGGGGCAGCCUUGAGUAGGACUUGGAUGGGAGACCACCUGGCAAUCCCAGGUGCAGCAAAUG
rnacentral:rRNA from 1 species